GCUCUUUUUUUAUAGCCCAGUGGCCUUUUUUAAAUCCUGCGAUCACGACCUGUGGCUGGUCUCCCCGAUUGCCCCAUUCCCCAGCCCCUUGCGCCCUGCAUGCGAAGUGCAGCGGCGGGCAGCGUGAGCCUGCGGGCUGGCAGGGGAUGCGGGUUUCCCAUGUGAGCUCCUGGCUCGGCCGCACGUGGCUCGCAGCCUGGCCGGGGAUGCUACCGCGGGGCCGUCCCCGCCGGGCUGUGCGCGCACACGCAGCCUUGCCGGGGACCUGGCCCGUGGCGGGAGGAAAGCCCAGGGUCUCGGCGGCGGCGGCGCAGCAGGGUCGGCCCGGAGCAGCCCCUCGCCCAGCGGAGGCAGAAGGCUUGGAGCCACAUGCGGGGUGCGGCCCCCCCGGCCGGGGAGAUCCGGGCCGGUCCUGGCUCUGCUGACGCCUCUGGCCGCUAGAUGGCGCUGCGCGGCAGCGUUUGCAGUGGCCAGAUCAUCUACCUCGAUGACCUCCUGCAGCAGUGAGUUCCACAGCUCAGCUGGUCUCUGCGUAAAGGGUUCUCAUUUUGUGCCAACAUGGCCGAAUACAUCUCCCACCCCUCCACCUGGAACCUGGGCACUCAGCCCCCUCACACCUCCACCCUUUACCCGUUGGAGCCCAUGGAUCUGGGAGUUUCUGAGCAGCAGACACCUCUGGAGGAGCCUCCAUCAUCCCCAGAGCUGGGUAACGACGAGGAUUUAAACUCCCCACCGGACCCUGAUGUGCCCUAUCCAGACCUGGCACCCGUGGUAUUCUUCUGCUUGAAACAGACCACCAGCCCCCGGAACUGGUGCAUCAAAAUGGUGUGCAAUCCAUAUCCUUUCAGAGCUGCUGCCCCUCCUAAUCUUUUUGCUCUCUUCUACCCCAUGCCUCCCUCUGCUCUCGUGGGGUGCCUGACAGGUUUUGUUGCACCUUCCUUUGAAGCAUCUGGCACUGGCCACUCUUGGAGAUGGGAGAGUGGACUAGACGCAGAGCUGAUCUGAUCAGAACUGAUGGGUCUUCUGGAGACCCGCCUGCGCUGAAAGGAAAACCAUGGGUGAUGAAGAGAGAGCUUUCCUUAUGUCACUUUAACCACAAGGAAGCAGCAUCAAGUUCAGCCAUGUCAAUGUGAACCUGGAUGGAAUCCACAAACCUCCAGAGAGCCAGUCUAAAAAAAGGGAGGACAAAUCCAGUCUUGCCAGCCCCAAGCAUUUAAAAAUCAAUCCCAUGCCAUCCCCCCCCGCCUCAAGUUGUGAUAUUUUAAAAAUAAAAUAUUUUUGAGUGGUGGGGGAGGCGACGUUAUUGCCUUCUGAUGUUUAAACCUCUAUGGCUUAUGUUUUCAGGCUUUUAUCUAGAGCAAGGAGGACUAGAAUCUUUUUUUUUUAAAGUGAAAAUGAGAUUUUUAUGCAAUGCUGUGAUUCUGGGAGUUGGGGCCUUAGAGAGACUAUUACAUGUUGUGCAAUUCAUGAUAAAAUCAUGAAAGAUGGCAACUUUGUCCUUCUUUCUUCUUUCUUCUGAUGUUUAAUCUAACCCAUCAGAGCUACAAGCAAGAGAUCAAGGAACUCAGGCUUAGCAAAGGGUUUUUGUAGCCCCCUGCCUCUCCCUUUCCCCCCACUUUAUUGACUCUUGAGAAAUCAUACAAUACAAUUGGUGAUUUGUGGAAAAUAAAAUCCUCAGUUCAAGUC